UCCUAAUAUAAGGAAAUAUUUCUUUCAUAUCCUUUUCAGCAAGACAGUUCUAGUUUUUCACUCCCUUCUGCUGGUGACAGACCCAAACUCAAUUGUUUGGAGCCAAAAAUUAUCAGUACUGCAUAAUUCCUGUAUCCCCUGGAACACAAGCAGCUGUUUUCAGCCCUGUUUUCAGCUGGCAUCCAGUGGCAGUGCCACUAAUUGGCACACUUUUCUAGCAAGCUGAUCAUGCAAACAAGGCUACAGAAACAAAACUCCCUUUCAAAAGCCAUGCCCCAGGACUAAAGAAAAGUAGCACAGAAAGUCGUGAACUUUAAUAACAAGGCUGGCUCUAUACAGGACACCUGAAUUUCCAGGAAUGUCCAGCUGGCACAUUUCAUAUGUAUAAAAAUUAUAACUUUUUAAAAGCUGCAGGACCUCAUCUUUACCAAAAGGCUCAUCAGAAUGAGUACAAUCAUAAUUUGGUGUUAAAUGGCAUUUUUUUUUUCAAAUAAUUUUUAAACCCUUACGUGUAUUUUUGCAUUGUGUGUGCCUGGAAAGUUGCAUAAAGCGUGUUGCUUCAGGGCUGCACCUAAUUAUAUUGGGCAUCCAGAAAUAGGUGCAUCUGACUCAGAAUUUCUGCAUGCUUUGCCAGCCAAUCAAACCGUAAGACAUGCAAGCUAUGGUUAAAUUAAGCAAUAAGACACCGCAAGCUGCAAGUUGUGACUUAUCGGCACACAACACACCGCAAGGAAGAAGAUCACAACAGGAAACAUUUUUAAGGUAGUAGUUGUCCUCAGCCCAGCUAAGAAUAUCAUCAUUACUGUGGCUUUGUGUACUUCGAGUCAGAGGAUCAACUAUGCUAACCCUGAACGUCACAAGAGAAGACUAAACAUAACAUUAGGGAGGGAGCCCCAAAGCAAGAAGGUAGCCAAGACAAACAGGAAUAUACUGCUUAAAUCAAGAAGUGAGCAGGUACAGAACUUCCUUUCUUCAUUAUUCCUAAUCAGUUUAAGAGCAUGAUUCAUUUGUUAAACUUCAUUUGAUACAAGUUGUAGAGAAAAAAUUGAAUUACCCAUGGAAGGCACAAUAGAAUAAUUAAAGGAAGUAGGUAUUCAAUGCCUUUGAAAAUCCAUCACUCCUCGAGAAAAUGCUUACGUACAUAUUUGUGUCCAUCUCUGUAAAGGAAAAUAUGCACGUUUAUGCCUGAAGAUCUUCUUGGAUGAAGGCCAAGGAGAGAAAUUCAGGAAGAUGAGGAACAGUUUUGAUUUUUAUGGCAGAGCAUUAUUUCUCCUGGACCACUACUGUUAAGUCAGAAAGCAAGGCGAGUAUAAAUGAGGGACCUGGAGAAAUCAAGCCUGAAGAGUAAAAUGUGAAACAAUAUUUUGCUGAGGUGAGUGAAAACCACUUCUUAUGCACAUCACAUGACAGACAUUGCCAAUCCUGAAGAUCCUCACAUGAACAACAGUUCUCCAACAAAAACUGAACAAAAAGAGAAGUUAUGUAGCGCCCACGACAGGGUUCCAGGAAAGGACUGCUACCCAUGAACAACGGCAGGAAAGCACAGGAAUGAAGCCUUGUUGCCCAUUUCAUCUUCUCUAAUGAUCACAGAGAAAGCACAAAAAGCUUUGAAGGCUGAUGUAUCUGUGUGGCUAGAGUAUGAGUGAAAUGCACUGCACAAGAGCAUAUAGGAAGUGAACAUAAAAACUUAGGAAGUUCAGUUACGAGAAGAGUAGAGCUCUGCAUCUGGUGCAGACAAAAAAAACCCACAACAAACAACAUGCAUCCAUAUGGGCACCCAGCAACACCGGUGAAAAGGGCCUCUGGAGUUACUAUGGACACAGCAGGUCAGUACAAACUAAAAGCACACCCCUACCAGAGAUAAGGCAAGCAACAUACAGUUAUGUUAGAGAAACAGGGACAGAAAGGUGAGGAAAGUUAUUGUUCUCCUUUAUUCUGCAUGGCUUCACAUUGAGGCAUCCAGUUGCCAGGUGAAGUGACAAGGGAUGAGCAGAACCUGGGAGAGCAACCAAGAAGGCCUAGGGCCUUGAGUAUGUGCCUCACAUAGCGGUUGAGGGAGCUGGAGUGGGAGCAAGAGGGUGAUCUACCAGUUGAUUGGCAGCUCACAGCAACUCAAGCAGCCUACAGCUCCUGGAAGAGAAACUACAAGGAUAAAGAAACCAUGUGUUCCAGUGCCAGAUGGUACAAAAAUGGGCACUUGAGAGGUUCAGGUCAACUCUCCCCCACCUCACACUCUCUGUUUUCAACAGCAGGGUCAUGCAGGCCUGCAGCAGGUUGCUCAGCAGGGCUGUGGCACCUCCAUCCACCAAAGUUCAAGACCUGUCCAGACAAACACUGUUUGACAUGAAUGGGAAGAGUAUGUCUUCCAGUUAGACUGGAAAGAUACCGGGAUCCUCUCCAAAGAAUGCUUCAAGGAGAAAUAUGCACACAUACAGAAUCAUGGACUGCCUCAGGUGGAACAAAUUCCUGUGGAUUUAUACUGAAGUGCACCACAGUAUUCACGGUAAUUCACUGCCGGAAAGAAAACGGUUACUAACCUUUAGGUGGCAGUUACAGACCUUUGAAUUUUUACCUCCUCAGCACCUAAUAAGACUAAUGUGGCUUUGCCACACCAUUUACGUUGUCAACUCUGCUAACACUUGCUAUUUGUAAAUAUCAUACUGAUAUUUGUCUUUUAAAUAAAUAAAAAUACGUUGUUAUCCUAAGAAUACCAGGCCCUGGCUCUGAAAUGUACUCAAAAAGGUAAAAGCCACAGUUCUACCUACAGAACACCCGGAAUGAAUUCAUUAGAUGCCUGUAGAUGGAUAAAAUAAAGAGACAGAAUCAUUUUUACUGCUUUCUACUAGGAAAGUAUUUAGGGUUGCACAUUACUGUGUUUCUAACCAGAGUGUGGAAUCUCCCUAAUUAUACUCAUAGCACAGUACAUGAUGCAGCACUGUUAGCUCAGAUGCAAAGACACUUCUGUUCAGUGGCCAUCUGAUCACUAGUAAAAGAUGUCCAGAAAGCAGAUAUGGAAAGCUAAAAUAGCUAGUUAAAUUUCUGAUGGCAUUGCUAGAUUUUUUUCAGAAAUCACUUUCCAGCCUUUUUCCAUCCAGAAUGCAAAAGGACGAGAAGAUGAUCAUACUGGGUCAUACAUUCAUCUAGCCCUGUAUCUUAUUUCCUCCAGCAAUGGCCAGUAGAGGAGGCCCAUGGAAACAUCAACACAGGUCAUGCAAAGUGAUAGGCACCCGGCCCUGCAAUUUGUGAUUCAGAAGCUUCCAGAGCAAAAGGUGAUGGCUUUGAAACGAUAAGGACAUUGCCAUGACAAAUGUGAAAGACUUUUGCACAUAAUUUAUUAAAAAGAAGUCAGUAAGAAACAGAAAUUUUAUUAUUCCUGAAAUAAAUACAACAUGUUAAAUCAGGAAACUUACGCAACUAACAGUAUCAAAGAGUAGUACUUCUUCUGAACUUCUCGUGCUACUUCUUUUUCAGAAUGUUAAUUAAGAAUAAAAACAAUACAAAAUCCUUACGACAGCUGAAGAUGAAACCCAGAGUUAAAUUUGCAACAAAUCUGGAAUUCCUCUUUGAUCCUUCUAAGGCAACGUCUACACUUUCUUAUCAAUCCAAACAACCAAAAAUAAUCUAAAUAAACAACAGCAAUGACAAAAAGAAAUCCUACGACAUCCCAAGACAACGAUUCUAAGGAGUCAGACUAUUACAGCACUCUAACACACCUCCACAUGCAUUAAAUAUGUACAUACUCCACGUGUAGGUGAUGUGGUGUGGCAUAAAUACUUAAUUAGCCAGAGUUUAAGUUACUGACUCAUUACUCAUAAAUGGUAGAAUUUUCUUUUCUGAUUUCAUAAGCGUACAUAUUUUAAGUGUUCCUAAAUGAGUAAGAACAGAAGACUGUGGUACGUGCAGUAAAGACUUCAACUAGGGCUGCUAUGCAAAGAGCUACUGAGAAACACAGAAAGGAACGUGUAAUUUAUGGCGCUACAACCCAGCACAAUUAUACUGAAGUCAAAGGGCCACGCUCAAGAGUAAAUUGUUCAGCUGGUAGCAAAAGUUUGCAGAGCAGCUGCCUCUGGCAGCAUUUUGCAAGUUUGUAUUUACAAAUAAAUUAACCAACUGGCUUCCAAAUGUAGGUCACAACACUUUCCCCUCAGGUGGCUAUGUUAUUUUCUCUCCGCUUUGAAAGGACAAGAAGAAAUAAGAGCAAAGUGGGCAUCAUCCUCAGCUCUCAAGCAUUUUACCCUAUGGAAACAAGAAAUGAAAAUACCACUACGGAGACCGUUUCUUACUUGUAACCAGUGCUUAAUUCUCCCCUUUUCAUUUCAAAAGCAACAGGCAGGCCAAAAUAAACCCACAAGUCUCAGACUUCAGACUGAAACUCUGAAAGCACCCUUGGGCUAUUUCAGCCCUGCAUAUGAGCGUGAGCUUCAUUUCAGGAGAACACUGAUCUAGACGUUGGGCUUACAGCAGAUUGCCCAUUCAUUCCUGGAGCAGAAAUAGUGCCAAGCUAUAACGGGCUCUGUGGAGUCAAGAAUAGCUUAGCAGCAGUAGCAGCGGACAUCUCAUCCACAUACGUGGUAAUGUCUUUGCAACUCUGAGCUAUUUCGAGACUUCUUUUUUUCCUGACCCUGUCAGGGAGAAGGUUUUCCAAGACGCACUUGUAUUUGAUCAGGUGGAUGGAAAAAGCGAGCCAGGAACACCAACAGUAUUAUCUGAAUAUCUGGCAGUCAUUAAAUCAGAAUUAAUGAAAUACAUUAAAAGAAUUGAUAGACCAGCAAUGGAGAUGUCUGACAAAUUGAUAUCCAGUGGAACUCCAAGCGUGACUUAAAAACGGGAGCUGUAGCAUCACAGACCCUUAAAGGUAACAGCAUCACUAGGCACCUCUACAUUACAGCAAUGUUUCGAGCUCUCUCACGCAGAUUUGCUCAGAUAAAAGAUAGAAUGUUGGCAUUUUCAGCUGCCAAAAUUGCAAUUUGCAAUUAAAAAUUAAAACUGGCACCCAUUCCAUGCAGGCAAUUAUCUAAAGGCAGCUGGCGAUCUUCCUUGUUUACAGUGCUGCUGUGUCAUGACUUCACUCUGUUUGGAAAUUUACUUUUUUUUUUUUUUUUUGGAGGUUUAAACUCGUCAACUUUAUUUCCAGCCUGAACUUUAUUCAUUUUAAUGGUUUUCGUGGUGAUAUCAAAGAGAAAGAUCCCAAACUGCAAUUUAUGGACUUUCCAUGGCACUGCAGUGCGACAGCUCUCGGCAGCGCGGCGAUCCUCACGCCCUUCCCUACGCACUGCCUACAGGAUAACACCUGUAGGAACCCAAGCGCCACAACGUUCCAAACUAAUGCCCUCCGAGAAGAAAGUUCAGCCUGUAUCUGAUUUGCACAGCCAAACGGCAGCGGCUGCUCUACCGAGCAGCCACAAACCCUCGUGCUGAAUGCGUGACAGUACUACGCCCGUUCCUGCCGCGUAUCGCCCGCAGCGGGUUGGUUCUCCCCGGUCAGGGCGGCCGUGGAGCAUCUCGCAGAGCAGCACGGCGCCGUGCUCUCGGCGGAGCACCGUUCCACCUCCGAGCGUUUCCCUUCGGCGGGGAUCGGGACUACCCUGCCGCUGGGCAAGGAGCGCUCGCUGCGUGCCACACCGCGCUCGGGUCCCCAUCCCCCGGCGAAGGGCUCCGCGUCCCGCGGGCCCUCCCCCGGACGGUGCCGGAGCCCCGAACAGCGGAGACCGCCGAGAGCUGAGGAACACCGCGGGGGAAUCGGUCCGAGUUUCACAGCCGUGACAGCAACAGGACGCGGUCAGCGCCGCGCUCCUCGAAGCGAGGAGAAGCGAAAGGAGGAGUCACUCGCGCAGAAAAAGCGCAGAAAUGUCACAGAGCAGAGGGCAGGGCGGGCGGUCUCAGAGCCGACGCUCUCCCUCAGCGCUCCCCCGUCCCCCCAGCCGGGCGCACCUCGGGUGACCGCACACGCGUGGAGAGGCGAACGCGG